UACAGAGGUCUCAAGCGUUGUUCGGAUUCAUUGGGCGUAAAGGGUGCGUAGGUGGCGCUGUAAGUCGGGUGUGAAAUUUCGGAGCUUAACUCCGAAACUGCAUUCGAUACUGCGGUGCUUGAGGGACUGGAGAGGAGACUGGAAUUCAUGGUGUAGCAGUGAAAAUGCGUAGAGAUCAUGAGGAAGACCAGUGGCGAAGGCGGGGUCUCUGGGACAGUUCCUGACACUGAGGCACGAAGGCCCAGGGGGAGCAAACGGGG
rnacentral:rRNA from 1 species